GUGGGGAAUCUUAGACAAUGGGGGAAACCCUGAUCUAGCCAUGCCGCGUGAGCGAUGAAGGCCUUAGGGUUGUAAAGCUCUUUCAGCUGGGAAGAUAAUGACGGUACCAGCAGAAGAAGCCCCGGCUAACUCCGUGCCAGCAGCCGCGGUAAUACGGAGGGGGCUAGCGUUGUUCGGAAUUACUGGGCGUAAAGCGCACGUAGGCGGAUUGGAAAGUCAGAGGUGAAAUCCCAGGGCUCAACCCUGGAACUGCCUUUGAAACUCCCAGUCUUGAGGUCGAGAGAGGUGAGUGGAAUUCCGAGUGUAGAGGUGAAAUUCGUAGAUAUUCGGAGGAACACCAGUGGCGAAGGCGGCUCACUGGCUCGAUACUGACGCUGAGGUGCGAAAGCGUGGGGAGCAAACAGGAUUAGAAACCCGAGUAGUCC
rnacentral:rRNA from 1 species